GAUGAACGCUGGCGGCGUGCUUAACACAUGCAAGUCGAACGGAAAGGCUCCUGCUUGCAGGGGUACUCGAGUGGCGAACGGGUGAGUAACACGUGGGUGAUCUGCCCUGCACUUCGGGAUAAGCCUGGGAAACUGGGUCUAAUACCGGGUAGGACGAUGGUUUGGAUGCCAUUGUGGAAAGUUUUUCGGUGUGGGAUGAGCUCGCGGCCUAUCAGCUUGUUGGUGGGGUAAUGGCCUACCAAGGCGUCGACGGGUAGCCGGCCUGAGAGGGUGUACGGCCACAUUGGGACUGAGAUAGGGACCAGACUGCAACGGGAGGCAGCAGUGGGGAAUAGUGCACAAUGGGAGCAAGCAUGAUGCAGCGACGCGGCGUGGGGGAUGACGGCCUUCGGGUUGUAAACAACUUUCGAUAGGGACGAAGCGAAAGUGACGGUACCUGGAGAAGAAGCACCGGCUAACUACGUG
rnacentral:rRNA from 1 species